AGAGUUUGAUUCCUGGCUCAGGAUGAACGCUAGCGACAGGCUUAACACAUGCAAGUCGAGGGGCAGCGGUGGUGAAGGCUUGCCUUCACCAGCCGGCGACCGGCGCACGGGUGAGUAACACGUAUGCAACCUGCCUGCCACAGCCGGAUAAUCGGGAGAAAUCCCGUCUAAUACGGCAUAAUGCAUCGACGGGACAUCCUGUUGGUGCCAAAGGUUAAUUCCGGUGGCGGAUGGGCAUGCGUCGCAUUAGUUAGUUGGCGGUGUAACGGACCACCAAGACGACGAUGCGUAGGGGUUCUGAGAGGAAGGUCCCCCACACUGGUACUGAGACACGGACCAGACUCCUACGGGAGGCAGCAGUGAGGAAUAUUGGUCAAUGGGCGGGAGCCUGAACCAGCCAAGUCGCGUGAGGGAUGACGGCUCUAUGGGUUGUAAACCUCUUUUGCCGGGGAGCAAAGUGCCGCACGUGUGCGGUUUGGAGAGUACCCGGAGAAAAAGCAUCGGCUAACUCCGUGCCAGCAGCCGCGGUAAUACGGAGGAUGCGAGCGUUAUCCGGAUUUAUUGGGUUUAAAGGGUGCGUAGGCGGACGCUUAAGUCAGCGGUAAAAUUGCGGGGCUCAACCUCGUCGAGCCGUUGAAACUGGGUGCCUUGAGUGGGCGAGAAGUACGCGGAAUGCGUGGUGUAGCGGUGAAAUGCAUAGAUAUCACGCAGAACUCCGAUUGCGAAGGCAGCGUACCGGCGCCCAACUGACGCUGAAGCACGAAGGCGUGGGUAUCGAACAGGAUUAGAUACCCUGGUAGUCCACGCAGUAAACGAUGA
rnacentral:rRNA from 1 species